rnacentral:rRNA from 1 species
CGAACGCUGGCGGCGUGCUUAACACAUGCAAGUCAAGGGGAACGCCUUUCUUCGGAGAGGUUAGUAUACUGGCGAACGGGUGAGUAACGCGUAGGUUACCUGCCUAUAAGUUUGGGAUAACACUGCUAACGCGGUGCUAAUACCGGAUGCUGCAUAUAUUUUGCAUAAUAUAUAUGUUAAAGCAGGCUUAGGCUUGUGCUUAUAGAUGGACCUGCGUCUCAUUAGCUAGUUGGUAGGGUAACGGCCUACCAAGGCGACGAUGGGUAGCCGACCUGAGAGGGUGACCGGCCACACUGGGACUGAGAUACGGCCCAGACUCCUACGGGAGGCAGCAGUGAGGAAUAUUGCGCAAUGGAGGAAACUCUGACGCAGCAACGCCGCGUGCGGGAUGAAGCUUUUAGGAGUGUAAACCGCUGUUGGAAGGGACGAAUAAGGGAUAUGUGAAUAAUGUAUGUCUAUGACGGUACCUUCAGAUUAAGCCCCGGCUAACUCC